UCAUUCAUUCACUGACUCAGUUUUGUGGUUAAUGACUGAGGAGCUCUAUCAUCCAGACCACAUCAAGGAGAGUGCCAUCAAAACACAAGAGAUAAGAGGUACUGGUCUAUAUUUGUUAUUGCAUGUCAUAACAUUUAUUCCACAGAGUUAUGACUCUUCAAGUGCAGCAUACCAACUAAAUUAAUUCUUUUUGGACUGUUGUUCUGCAAUUUAUCAGUUCAUCUUUCAUCUCCAAAACAACUUGUGUUGUUUGGUCAAAAGGAAAGAAGCGUGGAUGAAAUUGUUUUGAUGCUGUAAUUCAUAAACAAACGUUUGACUGCAUCAUAAAAUCACUAAGUAAUAUUGUAUGAUUCGAUCAUGUGCUCAGGAGAAACUGGACUGUUACAGAAUAGGUACUCUGUAUUAGGAAGCUUGCAGGCUUUUUACCAGGAAAAGGUCUUGCUCUUGCCAGUACCAUCAGUCUCUCAGAGAUGCAGUGUAGCAAGCAAGGGUAAGCUUUUCAAUUUCUGGUUGAGUGCACUUCUAGCUCUGGCAAGUCAGAAAUUAUUGCACUAUCAAGAGUCACCCAAUUCCCUGCCACUCUCCAUUUUGCCGGGUGAUUGAAUUUAAGUAAGCAAAACAUGAUAGGUCAAGUAAGUUCCUAUUCCUCUCUAUUGUAGUUUCAUCUAUAAGUUCAGGAGGCUCUCUGUAUACUGCACUCUAUUAUCAUGAGUGGUUCCUGUUUUAUAGCAGAGUUACAACAGCUCACUGAAGCUAAGUGGAUAAAAACUGGACUUAAGGGGCACUGAAUUUAAGACAGUCAAGCUUCUGUUUUUUUUUUUUUAAAGCUUACUGCUGUUAAAGAUUAUGAAUGCCAAACAAAGUAGUCUUUUUUACAAUUUAUUUUCUUUGUAUAUUUAAUAGCACUAUUUUCCCCAAUUACAGUCAGUCAGUUCCCUAAUUUGCAUGCAUCUUUCACCCAACAGGGAAGAGCAAAAUAUUUAUUUAGAAUUAGAAGUUAUGACAGGAUCAGAAAAAUUAGGACUGGAAUGAAUGGAAAUUCAGGGGCAGGUACAGUAUCUAACACCAUCAUUAACUCAUU